CACAGCUGCCUCGAGUGGUGUCCACGAAUAUUGAGCCUAAAGCGUGUGUAGCGGGCUUGGCAAAUUCCCUGUGAAAUCUCCCGGCUCAACCGGGAGGCGUGCAGGGAACACUACCAGGCUUGGGAGUGGGGGAGGACAAGGGUACUUUGGGGGGAGGGGUAAAAUCCUUUAAUCCUCAAAGGACCAUCGGUGGCGAAAGCGCUUGCCCAAAACACGUCCGACCGUGAGACACGAAGGCCAGGGGAGCAAAUCG
rnacentral:rRNA from 1 species